GCAGGCUUUACAAAGGAGGAGAAGGGUUCAAAGCAGCUCAGGAAUGCCAUCACUUUGAAAAAGGCUGCAUGUCUCACAUAGUAACUUGUUAUUAAUCAAACUAUUGAAAGUAAAAUGAAAUUUAACACAUUUCAAACAUAGCCAGGAUACGGAAUACAACUCGGACCAUACCCAGGUCUGUUUCUUAAGUAAUUUAUGAUCAACUGACUCACUUACCUGCAAGUAUAAGACAAGAUUAGGAUGGAACUACGUCAUUCCUCCACCGGGCGAAAAUACCUUGGCUUCUCAGAAUGGAAAGGAAUCUAAAAUAAAAAUAGGAAACAGCCCCUGUGAAUUUCCAUGUCUUAAAUGUAGGAGAUAUUACAAAAUGGUAAAAUUUUAAGUCAUUUAGGAUUUAAAUUCAAUUCAUCCAAAGUAUUGCCCCCAAAAGCAGGAUAUUUUCUCCUCCCUAGUUUAAUGGGUAAAAUACAAAAUAUUUGUUAAAAACACACAUAUAUAGAAUCAAGGUUAAAGUAAACGGUGAAAGCCAUGUAGAAUUGUGUGUAAAAGCAAGGCAGGGUCGCAGUCACUUGAAAAAGAACUCAAAAAGCAGCAAACCUCGCAAUAAAGAACCGUGCCCGCGGCCCGCGCGCCGGCCCUAACUCGCUCCUCGCCUCGGAUGCUCCGUCAGCCCCGGAGACACCGGCUCCCAGGCUGGGGUCCGGAGCGACAGUGCUGCCCCCCCGCGAAAGGCCCGCGGUCAGCGUCUCCACUCCCCGCCCUCCCCAAUGCUUCCACGCAGUGAAACGUCAAAAAACAGCAAAUCCUCUUGAAGUUUUCCCCGAGGCAAGGAAAGGGUCCACACGCUUCGAAACGGUCGGAGGCCGCCAGCAAAGCCCGGCUCUGGGGACGCGGCCCCGGCUCGAGGGCGCGGGGCUCGGGACCGCACGAGGCUGCUGCUGCGCCCGCAGACGCGCCCGGGAGCGCGGGCGGGGAGGGCGGGGAGGGCGGCGAGCGCGCACCGCCUGCCCAGCGGGCGCCGAGGGAGGACGGCCGGGCGCCGCCGCGGGCCGCAGCCGCCCUGCCCGUAAGGAACUCCACCGGGGGACACACGCGUCCACGAAGGCAGCCGCGGAAGGAGGGCCAAGCAAAACACUCUGGAGGCAAAGGCACACAAGCGUCGGGAUGGCAGACCAGGCCCAGGGAAAGACAGGAGCCGCCCGCGGCUGCAAGCGCGGUCCCCUUCUCCCCGGGACGGCCUCCUGGAGACUGGAGGCCUCUGUCCCAUUUCGUCUCUUCCUUCACCUAAGUUGGAAGGUCCUCUCCGAGGCGCUGAGAGUAACAGCGUCUAUGGAGGGCGAGGUGUGUCGCCGCGGAGCUUCGGAGGCCGUCUGUCCCCGCGCUCGCACAGGUGACCGGGUCUGCGGGACAGCGCGCGGGCCGGCGGCGAGCCCCUCGGGCCCCCGGCGCGCUCUGCCGCAGGUGGGCGCGGCCGCCUCUCUCGGCGGUGCUCUCGCAACCCACUUCCGUCUCUGCCUGGCUAAUUAAUCUCUGUCUGAACGGAAUUGCACUUGGCAGAAAGGCAGCAAUGCCAAAGUGGAAUAAUCACUUGGCCCUGAACCCGAGCUGUUUUCCAUCCUUGACAAGAAAUAACGUUACUCCAGAACCCGCAGGCCGGGAGUUGCAAGGAGUUUCUAAUUUGGCCGCCAGUCUCACAUUCUCAUUCUCACCACUUCAGUUUUCUUUUCCGCUGUUAGCAUGCAGGGGGCAGCU
rnacentral:lncRNA from 1 species